rnacentral:rRNA from 1 species
UGGGGAAUAUUGGGCAAUGGGGCGCAAGCCUGAUCCAGCAACGCCGCGUGAAGGAAGAAGGCUUUCGGGUUGUAAACUUCUUUUGUCAGGGACGAGGAGAAGACGGUACCUGACGAAUAAGCCACGGCUAACUACGUGCCAGCAGCCGCGGUAAUACGUAGGUGGCAAGCGUUGUCCGGAUUUACUGGGUUUAAAGGGUGCGCAGGCGGACUCGUCAAGUCAGCGGUAAAAAUUCGGGGCUCAACCCCGUCCUGCCGUUGAAACUGCGAGACUGGAGUGCGACAGAGGAAAGCGGAAUGCGAGGUGUAGCGGUGAAAUGCAUAGAUAUCGCGCAGAACUCCGAUUGCGAAGGCAGCUUUCCAUGUCGUGACUGGCGCUGAGGCACGAAAGCGUGGGGAUCGAACAGGAUUA